rnacentral:rRNA from 1 species
GAAUAUUGGACAAUGGGCGCAAGCCUGAUCCAGCAAUGCCGCGUGAGUGAUGAAGGCCUUAGGGUUGUAAAGCUCUUUUACCAGGGAUGAUAAUGACAGUACCUGGAGAAUAAGCUCCGGCUAACUCCGUGCCAGCAGCCGCGGUAAUACGGAGGGAGCUAGCGUUGUUCGGAAUUACUGGGCGUAAAGCGCACGUAGGCGGCUACUCAAGUCGGGGGUGAAAGCCCGGGGCUCACCCCCGGAACUGCCCUCUAAACUAGGUAGCUAGAAUCUUGGAGAGGUCAGUGGAAUUCCGAUUGUAGAGGUGAAAUUCGUAGAUAUUCGGAAGCACACCAGUGGCGAAGGCGACUGACUGGACAAGUAUUGACGCUGAGGUGCGAAAGCGUGGGGAGCAAACAG